rnacentral:sRNA from 1 species
CAAGGCCCGCAAGAAGCUCCUGGCGUAAGUUUCUUUUCAGUCUUAGGGGAACGUUCUUUGACCUUUGAGAGUUGUUCUUAGAUACUUAAAAUGUGCCAAUGCCUAAGUCUUGACUUGCACGUAGUCUGUCAUAGAAAUACAGCUGUUCCCUUAGAGGCACCCACUCCUCUGUCCUGUACACACCCACUCCUCCUGUCUCGUAGGGACUAGAGGUUAGUUGGAGCAGGAGCCCUUGGUGGGCCCAGCAACUCAUUCCUGAAGCUGACUAGGUUCAAAGGGAGAGGUCUGGGGAUGUGCUUCUGUCUCCCCAGCAUCUCAUCUCUUCCCAAACUGACCCAUCUUUUCUCUUCCCUGACCAGUGACCAGGCUGAGGCCCGCAGGUCUAAGACCAAGGAAGCACGCAAGCGCCGUGAAGAGCGCCUCCAGGCCAAGAAGGAGGAGAUCAUCAAGACUUUAUCCAAGGAGGAAGAGACCAAGAAAUAAAACCUCCCCCUUUGUCUGUACAUACUGGCCUCUGUGAUGACAUAGAUCAGCCAUUAAAAUGAAACAAGCCUUAAUCUGC